UCUUAUGAUGAUUUACUUUGGAAUCUCGUUCGUCUGAACUCCUGUUGAGAAAUUUUGAAUACUGAUGAUG
ensembl:snoRNA SNORD30 Small nucleolar RNA SNORD30